UACGUAGGGUGCGAGCGUUAAUCGGAAUUACUGGGCGUAAAGGGCGCGCAGGCGGCUCAUUUUGUCAGGCGUGAAAGCCCCGGGCUUAACCUGGGAACUGCGCUUGAGACGGGUGGGCUAGAGAUCGGGAGAGGAGAGUGGAAUUCCCAGUGUAGAGGUGAAAUGCGUAGAUAUUGGGAAGAACACCGGUGGCGAAGGCGGCUCUCUGGACCGAUACUGACGCUGAGGCGCGAAAGCGUGGGGAGCAAACAGG
rnacentral:rRNA from 1 species